rnacentral:rRNA from 1 species
CCGUAUAUUCUCAACGGAGGGAAGAUUUAUCGGCUAAUGGAUAGGCCCGCGUCAGAUAGGGUAGUAGGUGAGGUUAAUGGCUCACCAAGGAGACGAUCUGUAAGCUGGUUUGAGAGGAUGAUCAGCCACACUGGGAGUGAGACACGGCCCAGACUCCUACGGGAGGCAGCAGUGGGGAAUAUUGGACAAUGGGCGAAAGCCUGAUCCAGCAAUACCGAGUGAGUGAUGAAGGCCUUAGGGUUGUAAAACUCUUUUAGCAAGGAAGAUAAUGACGUUACUUGCAGAAAAAGCCCCGGCUAACUCCGUGCCAGCAGCCGCGGUAAGACGGGGGGGGCUAGCGUUGUUCGGAAUUACUGGGCGUAAAGAGUGCGUAGGCGGUUUAGUAAGUUGGAAGUGAAAGCCCGGGGCUUAACCUCGGAAUUGCUUUCAAAACUACUAAUCUAGAGUGUAGUAGGGGAUGAUGGAAUUCCUAGUGUAGAGGUGAAAUUCUUAGAUAUUAGGAGGAACACCGGUGGCGAAGGCGGUCAUCUGGGCUACAACUGACGCUAAUGCACGAAAGCGUGGGGAGCAAACAGGAUUA